ACGGGAGGCAGCAGUAAGGAAUAUUGGGCAAUGGAGGAAACUCUGACCCAGCAACGCCGCGUGAAGGAAGAAGGUCUUCGGAUUGUAAACUUCUGUUAUUGGGGACGAAGAUAGUGACGGUACCCAAUGAGAAAGCCCCGGCUAACUAUGUGCCAGCAGCCGCGGUAAUACAUAGGGGGCAAGCGUUGUCCGGAAUGACUGGGCGUAAAGGGUGUGUAGGCGGCUUGGUAAGUUAAAUGUGAAAGCCUGUGGCUCAACCACAGAAUUGCAUUUAAUACUGUCAAGCUAGAGUGCAGGAGAGGUAAGUGGAAUUCCUAGUGUAGCGGUGGAAUGCGUAGAUAUUAGGAGGAACACCAGAGGCGAAGGCGGCUUACUGGACUGUUACUGACGCUGAGGCACGAAAGCAUGGGGAGCAAACAGGAUUAGAUACCCUGGUA
rnacentral:rRNA from 1 species